AACCAGUCUUCUUGGAACUCAUUUCGUGUAACUCAGACUGAAGACUAAGCUAGCUGCAAAGUUACAGUGAUCUACCUUCCUCUGCCACCACUAUGACCACUGCCUGGCCAAAGCUAGAAUCAUAAAAAGAAAGGGGGGGGGGGAAGAAAAGAAAAGGUGAGAAUCUCAGCCGGUCAUAGUGAGGUACAAAGUUCAUGCCAGCAUUUGAAAAGCAGAGGAAGGCUCUUACAGGAUUGAGGCCUACAAAGUGUCUUCAAGACAGCCAGGGCUGCUUACACUAAGAAACUAUGUAUGAAAAGAAUAAAUUUAAGAAACGAAGAAAGAAAGAAAGAAAGAAAGAAAGAAAGAAAGAAAGAGAGAGAGAGA
rnacentral:lncRNA from 1 species